ACUCAAAUGAAUUGACGGGGGCCCGCACAAGCGGUGGAGCAUGUUGUUUAAUACGUCACUAACCGUAGAACCUUACCAGGGUUUGACAUGUGAGGCACCGGUAUGAAAGUACCGUUCGUAGCAAUACGACCUCAACACAGGUGUUGCAUGGCUGUCGUCAGCUCGUGUCGUGAGAUGUUGGGUUAAGUCCCGCAACGAGCGCAACCCUCAUCCCAUGUUGCCAGCGCGUGAAGGCGGGAACUCUUGGGAAACUGCCGGGGUAACUCGGAGGAAGGUGAGGAUGACGUCAAGUCAGCAUGGCCCUUACAUCCUGGGCUACAAACAUGCUACAAUGGACGGUACACAAAGGGAUCCGAAGCCGCGAGGUGGGGGAAAUCUCAAAAAUCCGUUCUCAGUUCGGAUCGCAGGCUGCAACUCGCCUGCGUGAAGUUGGAAUCGCUAGUAACCGCAGGUCAGCGAAACUGCGGUGAAUACGUUCCCGGGCCUUGCACACACCGCCCGU
rnacentral:rRNA from 1 species